rnacentral:rRNA from 1 species
UACGGGGGGGGCAAGCGUUGUUCGGAAUUACUGGGCGUAAAGGGCUCGUAGGCGGCCAACUAAGUCAGACGUGAAAUCCCUCGGCUUAACCGGGGAACUGCGUCUGAUACUGGAUGGCUUGAGUUUGGGAGAGGGAUGCGGAAUUCCAGGUGUAGCGGUGAAAUGCGUAGAUAUCUGGAGGAACACCGGUGGCGAAGGCGGCAUCCUGGACCAACACUGACGCUGAGUGAGCGAAAGCCAGGGAGCAAAGCGGG